rnacentral:misc_RNA from 1 species
GAUGAAGAACGCAGCGAAAUGCGAUACGUAAUGUGAAUUGCAGAAUUCAGUGAAUCAUCGGAUCUUUGAACGCACAUUGCGCCCGCCAGCACUCUGGCGGGCAUGCCUGUUCGAGCGUCAUUUCAACCAUCAAGCCCCAGGCUUGCGUUGGAGCCCUGCGGCUGCCGCAGCCUCCUAAAAGCAGUGGCGGGCUCGCUAUCACACCGAGUGCAGUAGAUUACUCUUCGCUCAGGGCGUGCAGCGGGUUCCGGCCGUGAAACCCCCUACUUUUAAAGGUUGACCUCGGAUCAGGUAGGAACACCCGCUGAACUUAAGCAUAUCAAUAAGCGGAGGA